ACCUUACUUGAACAGGAUCUGUUCUAUAGGCUCGUACCUCUGUAUCCUUGAGUUCUAAGGAGACAGGAACAUAAGUCUGGUUGAUGAGACAUAACCAUGCGAUCAGAGCGUGAUUAACGGCUCUGGUGAGGCCUGUAUUGGACUCAUCAAGCUGUAGAGGAUCGUUCCCGAUGUUGGUUCCAACCUUGGGGUGAUCGCAUGGUUGUCUGACAGACUCCCCUAAUCUUUUUUCUCUUUUUACCAGAAUCCCGGCAGCCGUGGCCGCCGAAACAGUAAUCGCGUCUUCUCCGUUGCAACCUCUGAUGUCUUCAUUCUCGAAACCUAAGCCAGCAUUUCAGUCCUCCUUCGUUCGACUCUCACCAUUGAAGCCGUCGCAGUCCUCAAAGGCAAUUCCCCGGUGGAGGGCGUUGUCACGUUAACCCUAGAAGAAGAGAGGGUGAUGUCAGGAUUUUUCGACUACAGGUCCUACGACGGUGAAAGUUUGUGUCACCGGCAAAUUAAAUGAGUGUGGGUGAAGCACCAUUUGUAGAUAACCAGUUCAAUUUUGCAUGAAAUAUGCAGAUACCACUGAGUGGGUCUAAUGCCGUCGUGGGAAGAGCUUUUGUGGUUCAUGAGCUGGAGGAUGACCUUGGAAAGGGAGGACAUGAACAUAGCCUUACCACGGGGAAUGCAGGUGCAAGAUUGGCCUGUGGAAGUAUUCAUGGAGUUCAUUCUUUUGAGAUUCAAGUUUUCAAAUGAUCACUGGGUGACUUAUCUCAUGCGUGUAUUUCUGUCUCUGGAUAUGCAGGUGUGGUUGGUUUGACUCCUGUUCAAUGAGAGCCCCUAGUUCGAAACCAAUCUGAUAUCCAGCUACGGAUUCUUCUUUCUUCCUUUUACAAGUGCUAUUAAGAGUUAAAUAGUCUUUUUGAAGUCAAGAGGAUGCUGUCGGGGUAGUUGAGAAGAAAGUGUUGAGCCAAAUUGUAGAAUUUGAGGGACAUUACCAUGUUUGUAGGUACUUCCCUCAAUAAAUGUGAGGACAGAUGUUUGGGUUUUGAAGACCUUAUUCUUGGCUUUUAUAUGCAUUACUGUGUUGGA